CCUACGGGAGGCAGCAGUGGGGAAUUUUGGACAAUGGGCGAAAGCCUGAUCCAGCCAUGCCGCGUGCAGGAUGAAGGCCUUCGGGUUGUAAACUGCUUUUGUACGGAACGAAAAGACUCUGGUUAAUACCUGGGGUCCAUGACGGUACCGUAAGAAUAAGCACCGGCUAACUACGUGCCAGCAGCCGCGGUAAUACGUAGGGUGCGAGCGUUAAUCGGAAUUACUGGGCGUAAAGCGUGCGCAGGCGGUUAUAUAAGACAGAUGUGAAAUCCCCGGGCUCAACCUGGGAACUGCAUUUGUGACUGUAUAGCUAGAGUACGGCAGAGGGGGAUGGAAUUCCGCGUGUAGCAGUGAAAUGCGUAGAUAUGCGGAGGAACACCGAUGGCGAAGGCAAUCCCCUGGGCCUGUACUGACGCUCAUGCACGAAAGCGUGGGGAGCAAACAGGAUUAGAUACCCUGGUAGUCCACGCCCUAAACGAUGUCAACUGGUUNUUGGGUCUUCACUGACUCAGUAACGAAGCUAACGCGUGAAGUUGACCGCCUGGGGAGUACGGCCGCAAGGUUGAAACUCAAAGAGAGUAGAGNGNGAGAGAGCGACGACGACGACGAGGGAGAGG
rnacentral:rRNA from 1 species